GAGUUUACUCCUGGCUCAGAUUGAACGCUGGCGGCAGGCUUAACACAUGCAAGUCGAGCGGAAACGAUGUAGCUUGCUACAGGCGUCGAGCGGCGGACGGGUGAGUAACGCGUAGGAAUCUGCCUAGUAGAGGGGGACAACAUGUGGAAACGCAUGCUAAUACCGCAUACGCCCUGAGGGGGAAAGGAGGGGAUCACUUGUGACCUUCCGCUAUUAGAUGAGCCUGCGUGAGAUUAGCUAGUUGGUAGGGUAAAGGCCUACCAAGGCGACAAUCUCUAACUGGUCUGAGAGGAUGACCAGUCACACUGGGACUGAGACACGGCCCAAACUCCUACGGGAGGCACCAGUGGGCAAUAUUGGACAUUGGGCGCUAGCCUGUAUCCAACCAUGCCGCUGUGUCAAGAAGGCCCCNGNUUUCNUCAAANUCCCCUAR
rnacentral:rRNA from 1 species